GAAAUGCGAUACGUAGUGUGAAUUGCAGAAUUCCGUGAAUCAUCGAAUCUUUGAACGCAUAUUGCGCUCGAGGCUUCGGCCAAGAGCAUGUCUGCCUCAGCGUCGGGUAUACCCUCACUCAACCUCUCAUUGUGAGAGACCAGAGUGGACCUGACCGUUGCAGGGCCUCGACCAGAGUAACAUCUGGUUGGCCAAAGGACCUGCAUCGGUUGAAGUGCAGAGGUUAGCUCAAGGACCCGCUAUGGGCCGCAACUGGGUGGGCAGCUUCACCGCUCGCUAUAAUCUUAGUUGUUGGCUUGGAUCUCUGAGCUUGACCCUCAAUCAGGAAUAUAUACCUACCAUCUCGACCUGAGCUCAGGCAAGGCUACCCGCUGAACUUAA
rnacentral:misc_RNA from 1 species